GNAAUUAUUGGGCGUAAAGCGCGCGCAGGCGGAUCAGUCAGUCUGUCUUAAAAGUUCGGGGCUUAACCCCGUGAUGGGAUGGAAACUGCUGAUCUAGAGUAUCGGAGAGGAAAGUGGAAUUCNUAGUGUAGCGGUGAAAUGCGUAGAUAUUAGGAAGAACACCAGUGGCGAAGGCGACUUUCUGGACGAAAACUGACGCUGAGGCGCGAAAGCCAGGGGAGCGAACGGGAUUAGAUACCCCGGUAGUCCUGGCCGUAAACGAUGGGUACUAGGUGUAGGAGGUAUCGACCCCUUCUGUGCCGGAGUUAACGCAAUAAGUACCCCGCCUGGGGAGUACGACCGCAAGGUUGAAACUCAAAGGAAUUGACGGGGGCCCGCACAAGCGGUGGAGUAUGUGGUUUAAUUCGACGCAACGCGAAGAACCUUACCAGGUCUUGACAUUGAUGGACAGAACCAGAGAUGGUUCCUCUUCUUCGGAAGCCAGAAAACAGGUGGUGCACGGUUGUCGUCAGCUCGUGUCGUGAGAUGUUGGGUUAANNNNCGCAACGAGCGCAACCCCUAUCUUAUGUUGCCAGCACGUAAUGGUGGGAACUCAUGAGAGACUGCCGCAGACAAUGCGGAGGAAGGCGGGGAUGACGUCAAAUCAUCAUGCCCCUUAUGACCUGGGCUACACACGUACUACAAUGGGAGUUAAUAGACGGAAGCGAGAUCGCGAGAUGGAGCAAACCCGAGAAACACUCUCUCAGUUCGGAUCGUAGGCUGCAACUCGCCUACGUGAAGUCGGAAUCGCUAGUAAUCGCAGGUCAGCAUACUGCGGUGAAUACGUUCCCGGGCCUUGUANA
rnacentral:rRNA from 1 species